CCUGGGAGAGUGUCCCUUAUAAGCUCAUCAAGCAUGCAGACACGUGAGAGACUGGACGUGUGUAUCGUCAGAGGAGCGAAAAUCGUUCCAGCGUGGGCCCCUACUACCCCAAGGACGCACAUCUCCACCACAGCACCCUGUGGAUUGCAGCCCUGGAGGAUGGAGCAAGCACAGUACUCCAAGGCACCAUGUAGAGGAUUGCUACAUAGGUAAGUGUGGGUUAAUUCACUUUACUUUACUUUCAGAACAUUUGGAGAAGUUCAAGCGGCUGAAGAGAAGGUUGAGCUGAGGGCACAGCUGGCUCUUCAAUCAGAAUGAACCACCUCAAAGAGACACGGCAGAAAUGGACGGUA